GGAAGAUGUUGAAAGCAGUGGACUGGGAUCCAGGGGAUGUAGAUUAAAUUCCUUGUCUCUGCUGCAAACUUCCUGUGUGGCCUGGAGCAAACUGCAGCACUUGGUCUGUGUUUUAGUUUCAGACACGUGUGGGGUGCAGCUAAUGAGCCCUUUCUCCUGCCCUUUGUCUCCUUACUCUUCUUAGAGAUGUUCUUUAGAGAAGGUCUGCAGAGAUUCUCUGGGGCACAUGGAAGUUUCAAUGGGAGGCCCAAAACACAGUAAGGUGUGUUUCUUUAGUGAAGAGAAGCUAGAGAACUUAAUCUCAUAUCACAGGAUCUGAAGCUGCCCAGCUGGAAGAGCAGAGAAUGGAAGUGUUGAGGGCAUUCAUGAGCAAGACAUGCCAGAUUCUGCUAUCACUCCUACUGGUAGCAGAUUGCUGCUGCACAAAGAGGAAAACAUCUCAGCCAGAAAAACUUCCUAGGCCAUGGCAGUAAAAUGGACAGAGAAGAGAGUCACCAGAAAGGAAGCGAGGAAACCAGAAACAAGACCACUGACACUUUGUUUCAUCCAAGGAAGUGGCAAAUCCUUUGACCUCCAAAAGGCAAACACCACCAGGAACUGCUCAGGGAACUUAGAAAGCUCAGCCUUCAAUCAAAUUGGCUUGAAACUGGCUAACUGAUUCAGAAGUUACUGGGAAGACACAAAGGUACACAAGUACAGUGUGAUAAUACAACCUCUGCUUGUUAUCAAAGCCAGGCUAAAAGAUAGUCUGAUUACUCCAAAGAAGAUAACAGAAACUGUCAGGAAUUGAUUGUUAUUUAUGGUCUGAUUUCAAGGUAGACUCUAAUUUACUUAAAAUACAUAUAUAUAUAUAUAUAUAUUUCAAAUCCAAGUUUGCACCCUGUAGACGUUUUAAAUAGUUAUGAAUUUGAAGAACUCUAAAUUUGCAGGAUUUGUUGAGAUUGAUUUGGAAGAAAACCUAUAAAAUUUAGAAACUAUGCAUUUCUUUUGACAACUAAUAAACUUGUAACUUCUAAUAACAGUGGGUCUCAAGCAAUCAAAAUAUAGCACUUUAAAAUACCUAUUUUAGCUAUUUUGUAGUACAAGAGUUUAGGAAAAAAAGUAUAUUAUUCCACACUAAAUGUUAUUAAAUGAAUGAUUCUCUAUGAAAACCAAAACCCUAAGGGAUUUUGUAUUAGAUUUGCAUAAAAAAAUCUUCACAUUUAUUCAAACUUUGCAGGUGCAUGAAAUAAACACAUUAUUUGAACACUACUGCCAAGCUUUGUGAAGGCUAAGGUGUAUUAUUAAAUUGUAGUGAAGCCUCUGGCUCAAGACACCAGAAACACUAGCACAACUCCAUUCAGUCAUUAGCACUGUGUUGGUAAAAAAAACUGGUUCACCAUCUAGAUGAAUAAUUCUCUGUGCUUUCAUCUCUGCCAUGCUGACUUGCUUUACUAAUUUGUUAUCCUCUUGAACGUUCAGAGGCAUUUUCACUUUUCUGUAUUUUCUAUCUUACAUUGCUUUCUGUUAAGUACCUGUAAGUGAUUCACUGGGGGAUGACAUAAGGUUUUUUCUGAAAUUGAACUAUUGCUUUGUUUGCUGUAGAGAAUAUUAAAUUAAAUCAGCUUCUAAGACAAAAAUGAGCAGUUCGUAUAAAACUUGCUCUGAAAGGUUAAUGAAUAUCAGAAAUCCUCCCAAGUGAAGGAAGGGAGACUAUACCUAGCCAAUAUAAAACUUAUGCAGCAAAACCUGCUCCUUUAAUGUAAUUCUUCUGAUUUCAGUGAGGUUACACUCAGAAUAAAUUUGACCUGAAUUAAUCAAACCUAUCCUAUUUUCAGGAGAGGUCCAAUAUCCAACAAGGAAACAAUACCCUUCACACGCCAGUAGUUUAUUGGCAAAGUCAAGGUCAUUGUGUGGUCAUAAAACAGUAUGGCUUAUUUCUGCUAUGACAUCUGUUUGACUAGCUCAAACCAAAAUUUUUUAUUAAGGCAUUUGAGGAGUAUAAAAUAUACACAAAAACUGAAAGCUACUACAAUAAGAGGAAAGUUCAUUGUGAAUUAAAUUAAUUCUGUAUUUAAGAAAAAAAUGUGAAUGAAUGAUGUUUUUGAUACCUUACAAGUGUUAGUUAUUAACCAGAGAGUGAGAUCAGUUCUCAUAGGAGAGUAACAGUCAGACCAAAAGAUGACAACACAGAAAUGUAACCUGUGCGUUUACCAUUCAGUCUUUUAUAAAAGGACCAGAAAAUAACUCUGGGUGCAAUUUCAUUUUAUUUAUUUAUUUUUUUAAGAAAUUCAGCAGUUGAGGUGUUCAGAGGCAGGAAGACAAUGAGACAAUUUGUAGCAAAUGACAGAUAAACCAUAAUUCUUAGAAAACAUAAUUGGAGUAACUUCAGUGACCUUUUCUAUACAAAGCUGAUCCUUUAUGUGGAAGACAUCUGUAUUUCCUUUGAGAAGAGCACCUGGAGGAAUUAAGCUCCUAUUUAAGAUACCUCAUCUGAAAGCCUAAAAAGUGAGCGCAUCCUGACCAGUGCAUCCUUUUGCCUUCACUGUGCAAACUUACUUUUCAUGUUUUUACAGAGUUAUUUUAGAUUUAUAUACAAAUAUGAAGUGCAAAAUGAAUGUAACCCAGCAUGUUUAUCCUAUUCAUAGUGUUGGAUGAGGCUCCGCUACAUCUAUGCUUCAGUAAAGAUUGUUAAUUUGGUAAAACUUUCAAGAUCAUGAAACACUGUCUGUGCACUGAGCCAAGCAGUCACAAAGCCUACAUCCCUUACAGAGCACAGCACAAGGGCAGGAUGGUGUUACAGCAGAAUACCACUGCACCAUUGUCAUACUUGCGCACUCCUUGCCAGGUAUCUGCCAGAAAGACCUGAGCCUGGGUUGCACUGACGUGUGUGCUGUCAUAGUUCAACCUGUGUUCUGUUUUGUUUUGGUUUUGUUUGUGGGUUGGUUUUUUUGUUUGUUUGUUUGUUUGUUUUGUUGUUGUUGUUUCAAUUUUUUUCUUUUGUUUGUUUUACAUUUUAAUGAAAGAAAAGCGUCCAAAUCUUCCAAUUCAAUUUAAAGAGUGGAUGAUAUGGGGUUGGAGGAAUACCCACAGCUAGACAUUGCUAAGGCUAUGAGGAUGUGAGGAGGAGAAAGGCCAAAAGCAAUGCUAGACAUAAGGGUGCCAUUUAAAACAUGUUGGUAUUAGACAACAGUCAUGAAGGGUAUCUCUUAGGCCAAGUCAUAUCUCUGUGCCAGGAGACGUUUACAUGAUACUUGUCAAGUUCCUUCAUCAGUUCUUGGAGUCAAUGCAGUUUCUUGGAAUCAGUGCAGUUUUAAGUUAUCCAGUGUAAAGAGAAUUUUCCUCUCUUUCUGGUGUAGUCUGGUGUAGCUCAGCAAACACUCCCACACUGCAUCUGGGGUAUCACUCCAUGCAUUCUUCCUCUCAGUCUCAUACUGCUGUAUGGGGAGGAGGAUUCAGCAGACAUUGGAGGUCAACUUCUUAUGGAACAACACAGUCACCACCAUUAACUAUGCAUUUUCACCAAAGGUGAACAAAAGCCUGCAUGUCGUGCUCAUCAUAAUCUGCACCAGCGGAGGUUAACCACUGUCAUCAGGGGACUAAUGUUUAGCCAGUGUAUCAAAAUCCAUAAACUUAUUUUCAAUAACCUGAGCUGGUACUGCACUGCCCUCUGUGCCCUGGUUUCAGCCCAGAUGGGGUUAAGAGCACACUGAUGAUCAGUUGGUGCUGAAGGCCAGGCCAGGCAGAGAAUAGCCACCCUGUGAUGGCACGAGUCAGGGGGCAGCCGCAGCAUGAGCUGUGCUGGGCUAAAUGUGGCCUGCAAGCCACAGCGUGGACAUGCCUGACUAAACAGACAAGGUACCCCUUUCCUCGUCUCUUUACCACUCUUCGCUGUCAGAUCAGAAACAAAAUACAUUAGUUGGUAGCCUGUGUUUUCCUAUCCUGAAAAGAAAUACAUUAGAAAAUGGAGUAAAAAGUAUGAGUAAAUGUUUCUCAUUGUGCUAUUUGUAUUCUGUCUUUUGCAGAGUAUAUUAUAAUGGAUAAAAGGAAUAUUACAUCACCAGAGGCAGAAAUUCAGUGCAUGGUUCACUGCAGAUUACAGAGCCUGAAAAAGCAAAACAAAGACAGUAAACAUGUUGCCUUUUGUUCAUACAACAUAACUAUAGCAGCAAUGACUAGUGGGAAAUUUCUCAACUAACCCUUCAAAUGUAUAUACAUUUUAUAAGCUUCUUGAAAAUUACAGUAAACUUGGAGAAUACUAUUUCUGCAAGCUUUUUGUACUUGAGUAACUCAACGACAGCAUCUUUAACAGAUUUUUACUGGCAUAUUAUAAAUGACGAAUAUAUAUUAUAUCAACACAAAUGCCAAGAAAAAACAACAACAGAAACAACACAGCCCUCCCACCCAAAUCACAUAAUAUAAAGGCAAAUAGCAUUGCUUCCUCCUCACCAGAACUCAGUUGCAUGAUGUGCUUACAGGAAUCAAGCAAAACAGUGAUGUUCAUAUAGUUCAUACAAUUUUGAGUAUCAUAGAUAUGAGCAAGCUGAUUCCAGCUGAGACAUAAACUAUAUUCCCAUGUUUCUGUAUUCACACUAGGCUGGGCAAUCUGAGUAUUACUGUUGUGAUAUUGAGUCUUCUCAAUCGUAGUAAAAUUUUAAGUUCAUUUUUUUCUAACUGGAAUUCCUUCUGAUUUUUGUUCUUAAUUGAAAGAAAGCUAAAGCCCCACAAAUAAUUCUUCUCUACCUAGGUUAAGGCACUUGUUUUUUUUAUCUCAUUACAGAUUUGUAAAAGUAAUUAUUAACACUGCUUUCCUGCUUCUGUUUUAGGAACUAAGAAUAAAUUCCUGCUUACCGUUACAGCAGGAGUGGAGAGAAAAGCAUAUUUAAAAUCAGGUGAAAAAUAUGAGAUACAAAGGAAGACAGAGUUUGUUCUGCAACUGGCUUUACUGGUCUCUUCUAGGAGUUGCCCAAGUCUCCCUGUCUCAGCCUGAAUUCCAGGGGGAUGCCAUGCCACCAUAUCUACACAAAUAAUUGUGCUGUUUCCUUCACCUCAUUUGCAAUGUCACCAGAGGUCUGCAGUUUCCCAUUUUGAUCAAUCCUUCUUUUGAAUUAUCAUGCUCAGUUAGGGCUGUUGCCUGGGGUUAAGCAAGAACAUUUCCUAUUGUGCAGGUCCUCUUCCCAUCGUCUAGUGUGGAUGGUAGACACAGUAACCACAGGUUGCAGCAAAACAUUGGAUGAACAGAUAAUACUUGAGUAUUGAAGUUAAAAACAUGAAAAUUAGUCUCAAUCUUUCACUAUUAAUUUUCCUCCCCCCCCCAAAAAAAAAAGAAAAAAAGAAAAAAAAAGAGUUUAUUGAGCUGCAAGCUGCAGGUGUCUUGCUUUUAAAUUGAGCUUUCAUUGCACUUUAUAUUUGUCCUUAGGUGGAUAACCUCUUUGCUCCAUAUAAAGACCCUACAAGUGAAAUUUUCACACUGUGCCAUUUUAAAAAAUUCUUCUCUCUCGUCUUUCAAAUGUCUGUUUAGAGCUAGUCAUGCUAAAGCUUCUACUACUAAUCAAUGCAGAGAGCAUGUUCUGGUCAUUCACUGUGUCACCACUUUAAAAGGAGAAAAAGACAAACUACUGACAUCUUCAUAACAAGUUACACCAAACUGUAAAUCAGAGGAAAAUUAUUCAUGCUGUGUUCUGGAUGUGACAUAUUUAACUUCAGCCCAGGUUCUCUCUCAUGCUCCACCUGAAUUGUAAAGCAGAUAUCUCAAAUCUAAAAAUUCUUGACAGAGAUAAAAGAGAAAAACUACUCAUGCCAUCAGUGUGGACCAGAAUAUCAAAACACUUUCAGAUUUGCAGGAUAACCAAGACGGGUAUGUUCUACCCAUUCUUAUUCAUUUCUCCAGGUACCAGCACCCAGAUGCAGUAAAGGAGAAAUGAGUCAUGAAAACCCAACCCAUGAAAACCCAACCCAUGAAAACCUAGGCAUUCGGACAGAACAAAGAACAGUAUUUCUUUUGUACUGGGAAGUUAGAAGAGCCAUAACUCUAAUUUUUGCAGCCGGAGUGUCACCAAACAAAAGAGAAAAGAAAUGUUUAUUUGUUUUGUUUUGUUUACUUUCCUAAAUAAGUACUGGAUCUGUUAUUUCUAUCUUUUUUUACAGUAUUUGUGUGGCCUUCUUUGUCAUUUUCGCAUCUUGAAAAUAUUUACAAAUAGAAAUAAUAUGCACUACUCCAUGUGACACAGCUUUCCUGUUAAUGAAUUGAUUUUCAAGAUCACACAAGAUGGUUUUUCUUUGGAUAUUUCAUUCCAAAACCCAGGCAAGUGACCCAGUACUCCCACCAAUAUCUCACUGACAGUCAUCCCACCUCAUGAAUAUACAUACACAAGCUAGCCCAGACUACCUACCUCUUAUCUUGCCUUUUCACCAGUGUUUCUGAACUUGUUGAACCUGUCUAGGUUAGAGUGAAACAGGUAAGGAAAUUACCUAAUUUAUAUUGUCUGGCUGUAUAUUUUCUAAGUCUGAAACAAACAAAUAUUUUAUUUUCAACGACUUUUGAAUGAUUUUUAGUAUCAUUUUCAUGCUUCCAUUUUAUUUCAAGAUGCACAUGAUUUGCUAUAUUUCUGGAAAUAUGGAUAAGCAGUAAUAAAAACUAUUGUCCCAGGGAAAAACAAUAGCUAAAGCAUCUAGUAAUGAAAGAGACUGAAACAGAUCACCAUUGUCAAUCUAUCUUCAGGUAAUUCUCUCUUACAGGAAAUGUGGCUUGCUGAAUUAAUGAGCAACUCCUGGGAUUUUGGUUGGGCAAUCCAAGCCAAUAUCUAUGCUGGUUAAGAUCUUCACUGUCAAUGAAAACAGGAUUAUAUUUUGGAUUCACAGUCUGAACUAAAAACACCAAAGUAGAUGCCAGUGUGUUUGGAUCAGGCAAGUGUUCCUUCUUGGCACCCCCUUUUCUCCACUUUGAAAAUAAAUUUCAGUUUCAGUUUUAUACUAGACAAUUUCUUCGCUGCUACUCACCACAGUUUUCUGUUUCCUUAGAAAGGACAUAAUGCCCUGAGAUACACAGUCAUUGAUGACACCCUCUUUCCUGAACAUAAGCCUUAUGAUGUGCAAGAAUUUUUAACAGUAACCUCUGAAUUGGAAACAUAUUCAAAAAUAGAGACACAGAAUGAGGCUACCUUCUAUGAUCAGUCAGCUUAAGAAUAAUACCUCUCACCUUUUCCAUGGAAGAUGUUCAUCAGCACUCCAGAAACAAAGCUUUCUCACCCACCUGACUGUGCAGCACUUCAUUGUCAACAGCAGAGAGGAGGCACUGAUAAUGCAGCUGAAUCUGUGCUGAAUAUGGAGCUUAUAUGACAGCAGAACUGGACAAACUGCAUUCCCCAGUCUCCCAGCCAGACACUGUUAUUUGGAUUUACAACUGGAGGUUAAAAGCAGUUCGAUGGGACACUGCAAAACAUGACUUACCCACAGUUCUGCACACAAAAGCACUUUACUGAGCAGUAUAUUAUCACAAACUCUACUUUCACAGCUAUCAGUAAAGGCUUAAAACAAUUUUUCAACAUAAUCAUUAUCACUGUGUGUUAUAGAUGGAAAUUGAGAUGUCUGGAUUGCAUAAAGAGUCUUACAAUCUCUUUUCCAUAACAUGAGUAUGGGAUAAACCCAUAUUAAUGGUAUGUACUUCUAUUUGUGGUAGCCAUCCCAUCUUACUAUAACGUAAAGGAGAAUUUGCACCUAAAACAUCAUGCUUAACAACAGGUAUCUUUUGCAAUUCUGUCCAGUCUUCUUUAAUCUUAUUUUUCUACUGCUUACCUUCAAAGCAUCCUGUGGCAAUAAGCAGUAUAUUUAUGCAGUCUUGAAAAUUUUAGUAUUUUUUCUUUAUCUCAGAUCUUUUGACCCAUAAUUUAAGUUUUUUCCUUUAGUUACUCUGUUACGAGAAGCAGUAAAUAUCAUUUCUGGUUCAUGGUGGUUUUUGACGUAAUUUUUCCCCUGAUAUCUUCUUGUUCAUACUGAGAAAUAAUAAUGAGGAUAACCACAGCCCCAACAUUUGUGGCACACCGUUUGUACCAAAUUUUUCUGAUGGUACAAGCCACUUACAUUUGAUUUGUUUCAUUUUCCUUCCUUGGCUGUUCCUACCUUUUGUUAGACUUUCUGGCUUCCACUGAUCAUGGAGCUGGCAUUUACACAGAGCUGUCAACAGUGACUCCUCUUUCUUCUCAUUAAGAAAAAAAAAACAGUUUUAAGUGUAUAUAACACUGGUAUUUUCUUUCCAUGCACAAAACUCUGACUGUAUCGAUACUGACUUUCACCUCUUGUUUUAUUUCCCCAUUUCCCAUGCACCUGCUAACCUGGUAAUGAAAUUUUCCUUUUAUUUAUUUAUUUCUUUGUUUGUUUAUUUUGUCAGCUUUAGUUUAGUCCAUUUUAAGGCUUUCUUUGAGGAAAGCUUUUGCAUAAAGCUCAAAGAAAGUUAAAAACAGUUUGAGAAGAAAGAAUUUGGCUUUCAGUGACUUGGAUCAGAGUAUAUGUGGAACAUUGCUGAUCCAGGAUAAACAGUGGGAAAGCUAAAGCAAUAGUUUCCGAUUUUAAAAUGUUUUGGAUCGUGACACUUCAUCCUAAGUCUAAUAAUGACAGUCCUUUCUAAGCAGCAUUACAAAUAGGUUCCACAGAACAACCCUUUUCAACAAAGAUUUUCAAAAUUUCUAGGCAAUUAUUUUAUGUAAUACUCAGCUACAGGAACUUCCACUGAGCAAUGCUAGUUCCUCUGAAGUCUCAUGCCAUCAAUCAUCAUCCAUAUUGUUUUGAUCAAAAUAGAUUCACUGCACCAUGUUACCUGAUUGCACAGAAUAUUUUCUGAAAGUUUACUCAGUUAAAAGAUUGUAAGUGCAUAUUUUUACUGUGAUCCUUCAGUGUAGAGACGGCGAGCAGCAUCUCCCAUGUCACCAUGCAAAGUACAUGAAAGACCACAGCUGCAUUUCUGCAGUCUUGCAUCCUAUCAUCAUGAUGGCUAUAUACAGUCCUACUCACUCAGGAUAGCUGCAUUUUAGUAUAUGCAUUUCAUUUCUAGGUGUUUAUAUCAAAAUUUCAUUCAUGGGAGCAUUCUGUGUCAAGUACACCCAAGAUUCAAUAAAAAGAAUAUCAUGCCCAGAAAUAUAACCUAUAAAUAACCUAAAAAUAACCUAUAUAAAUCCUGCAGUUUUAUUCUGCCACAGCUGUUCAGUGAAGUACUGCAGCAUUAUCACUAUAUUUUGCAGAUAUUUACUGUGCCUGCUUUUGGCUGUCUCCAACUGGACA
rnacentral:lncRNA from 1 species